UAUAAAAAAGACCAUAUUCAUUAGAUUGUUUCCAGAACAGCUGCUAUAAUUUCUCUCCAUGUGCCCAUGCCCUCAUAUAGAUCUAGUGACAUACUGUUAAAUUGGUUCUCUGAAAAGAGAAGAAAAAAAAAAAAAAAGCCCUGGUUUGUAGCAUUUGCCAAUUUCUAUGAUAUAAAUAUUCGCACCAUGGCCAAUUUCGAGCUACAAGCAGUUUAACCACUAGCUUGCAAAAUUCGUGCAAAUUUAACUAUCAGCUCUCAAGGUCUCAUCAUUCUGUCCCCUCCCAUACUACCCCAGGGUUUGGUCUCAUGUCACCUCAGGUGACAAUAGCAAACUUGAAGCAAGCAGAGACUUAAAAAGUGCUUGCACGUUCAAGCUUACCCUCUCUUAUUCCACUUGGAACCCUGACAUCAAUCAUGUGCAUGAGGUAGGUGAAUGAGCUGAGUGGUGAGAGAUACAAAACCAGUUGUCCUGUUCUUCAAGCCAACAGCCAGAAAUGUGGUGAGGGGGUUAUUGACCGAAGGCCUCCAAAACUGAAGGAAGGCCACAGAAGCUUGCAUGGGCCCAGCCGAGACCCACGGAACUAUCCACUGGACCCAGCCCAAAUCGCUGACCUGCAGAAUCAUUGAUUAAUAAAUGAUGACUAUAUUAAGCCACUGUAUGCUAAGGCAAUUUGUUACACAGCAAAAGCUAACUGAUACACUUAUCCUAUUCCCAAAGGGAAACAACCAAGCAUUAUAUCCAGUUGUUACAGUCUGCUGUCCAGGAUCUCUUAAUUGUCUCUGUUCUUCUCUGUAAGUUUAAGAUAUGAUUGAGCAACUCACAUCUUAAGUGCGGAAUUCAAUUAUCUCCAAAACACCUGGUAAACAAUGCUGGAGAAAAACAAGAUAACAAAGUUCCUUUCAGAAAACAGAAAAAGAAAGGCAAAAUAUCUAGUAUAACGACAUUUGUCAUUAUUUUUGGGUGCCCAGCAUUUGAACUUUUUUUUUUUUUUACAUAUAAGGAGUCCCUCACCUUAUGAAGCAGAACCUGUAUACAUCCCACUAUAGAAGCUAAAAAAUAUUCCUCAGACUCCCUUCCAGCUUCGGUGUGGGCACAUGACCUUGGUUCUGCCACUCAGAUGCAUUUACCUUUUGAAUCAGAGAAUUGUGAUGUGAAGAGGCAGAAAACCCAUUUGGUUUGUGAGUGGUGACAUUUCUAGGGACAGUGUCCAGGUGCAGCAUCAUUGUGUGGGCAAGGCAAGCCUCAGGGUUUCACCACAUAAUUUAUAUGUUAUGAUCUAGACUAUUGUCCCUGCCUUCAUAUCCUUCCAGCCUAACACACACAAUACUCCUAUCACAAGUUCUACAGAGUGUCGUGGGCAAUGGAGAAGCUCUGGAGUCCAACUGCCUGGGUUUAAACCCUGGCUUUAUUACCAAUUGGCUGUGUGACCUUGAGAAAGUUCCUUAACCUCUCUAUGCUAUGUUCCCAUCCAAAAUGUGGGGUUAACCAUAGUAUCAGUGUCAGAGGUACUAUUAUUGUUAUAAAGGUUGUGGUAAGGAUUACAAUGAGUUUCAUACAUGCAAAGAAUUUCACAUGAUGGUUGGCAAAAUGUAAGCGUUUAAUAAAUGUUAGUAUUGCUUUAUUACUUAAUAUCACAGUAAUAAACUCCUUUUUAUGCAUAAAUCAGUGUAUGUUGUUUACAACUAAGAAUGCUGCCAGAUACAAUUAGUCACCAAUCCAGAGUUUAUACCAUAUCUUGCUAAACAGGAGUUAUAAGGUACAGCUACUUAUUAAGUUUCAAAUGAGCCACUAGGUUGCUAAAGGCUCUAUAGACUGGGAGGAUUCACUUUGUCCAGGUCCUCCACGGCCAUUGUUGGGGUCUGCUCUACCUUAACAGCUGACCUGCUGUUGCUGCAGGUGUAAGGAGCAUGGGGAAUGUUUUGAUACUCUAGCGCCACUCUGGAGCCACAGAAGACCAGAGAGGCUAUCUUGAGGCAUUUUGCCUAAAUGUGUCAUGCCAACAUUUCUACAUUUCUAUGCUGCAUCAUGUUGUCUUGUACAAUGGGGGAAUUCUAUGACCUGACGUGCUUUCCUGGGUCUUCCCCGUGGAAGUAAGCGAAGGUUCCUCCACCCUCAGAUCCCCAAACAUAUCUGGAGGUUCUCUUAACUCUACAUGACUCUUGUCCCAAUACGUGCACAUAUGUGUUACCACAGAUCCUCCAAGGAACAGAUACCAAGACAAGAUUAAAUGUACAGGAAAUUUAUCAGGGGAAUCGUCAAUGAAGGAAAAUGGGGAGGAAGUCAGCAAAGGCUGGAAGAGGUGUCAGCCCAUGAUAUAUGCCUGACCUGGAGUGAAGGAGAAAGGCAAGGAAGGAUGGAAAGUUGGGAGGAAGUUUUCAGUGCAGUUAGAAGGAAAGCUGAGCAAGGACUUCUCAGGCCACAGUCACCCUCCCAGGAGUCCCCUGUCUCCCAGGAAAGGGCCUGCCAUAGUAUCCCCAGCUUACUCAGUAAUCAGCUGGGAGUAGCUAGGAGAAGCACAGGCUCCGUGGACCCGCAGAAAAUGGAUUUCAGAGGAAGAAAGGACUUUUCAAUACAUUAUACUGGUACAAUUCACUAGACACAAUGAGAAAAAAAGCUAGUUCCCUUAUUAAUGUCAUUUAAAAAAAUCUAAAUGGAUUAAAUAGAUCAUGCAAAAAAGUUAUAACAGAAUGUAAAGAAAAUAUGGAAGAAUUAAAAGACAGAAAUAUGUGGAAAAAGAAAGUCUGAAUUCUAGAAGAAAGAAGACAUAGCUAUGAGAGUCGAAAGUGAUUCUCUCUGGGAUAGAAGCAAGAGGAGUGGGAAGGAAUGGAACCGAGAUCUGUAAUAUUUUGACUUUUUAAACAAUUAAAUACAAAUAAAGUUAAGGAAAGAGAGUAAGAGAACAUUACGUACUACAUUUUUGACAAAUCUGAAAGUUAGGAAAAAAUAGAUAACUUGUAUGCUAAAUCAUUAAAUAAAUUAAAUCGGAAGUUAAAAAGUGGGCUUCCCUGGUGGCGCAGUGGUUGAGAGUCCGCCUGCCGAUGCAGGGGACACGGGUUCGUGCCCCGGUUCGGGAAGAUCCCACAUGCCGCGGAGGGGCUGGGUCCGUGAGCCAUGGCCGCGUGGCCUGUGCAUCCGGAGCCUGUGCUCCACGGCCAGAGGGGCCACACCGCUGAGAGGCCGGCAUACCGCAAAAAAAAAAAAAAAAAAAAAGAAGUUAAAAAGUUUAGAAGAAAAACAACAGCCAAAAAAAAAAAAAAAAGGAAACUAUCUGUCAAAUUUCAAAGAACAGACCAUUCUAAUAUUAUGCAAAUUAUCAGAGAAAAGAAGAAAGUGGAAACAUUGCCUAAAUCAUGAGGUUAGAUGAGGUUAGAAUAGUCUUAACCACCACCAGACAAGAACAGAUCAAGAAAGAAAAAUUAAAUGUUGAGAAUUCCCUGACUGUCCAGUGGUUAGGGCUCCACACUUCCACUACAGGGGUUGCGGGUUCAAUCCAUGGUCAGGGAACUAAGAUCCUGCAUGCCACACGCCAUGGCCAAAAAAAAAAAAAAGAAAGAAAAAUUAAAAGGUAACCCAUUUAUGAAUAUAGAUGCAGAAUUUCUGAACAUAAUAUUAGAAAAUUGAAUCCAACAAUUUUUUUUAGUUUCUCAUUAUAAAAUUGCUUUAUCUCACCAAUACAAAGAUGUCUAAAUUUCAGAAAACCUAUUAAUAUAACUUACUUACAUAUUAAAACAUUAAGGGAGAAAAAAUAUUAUCUCAACAGCUUCAGGAAACAUAUUUGCUAGAGUUUAAUAUUAUAAACUGGGGUUUCUCACAACCGCCUCCUUGAGUUUGAUAAUUUGCUAGAAUAGCUCACAGAAUGCAGGGAAACACUUAUGCUUGCCAGUUUAUAAUAAAGAACAUAAUAAAGGAUACAGAUGAACAGCCAGAUGAAGAGGUACAUAAGGCAAGGUCUGGAAGGGUCCCCAGUGCAGGAGUUUCUGUAUCUGUGGAGCUGGGGUGCACCACCCUGUACCAACCCAGGAGCUACCUGAAGCCCAUAACUUAGGGAUUUUUAUGGAGGCUUCAUCACAUAGGCAUGAUGGAUAAUUCACUCAAUCUCUAGCUCCUAUUCCGUCCCUGGAGAACAGGGUUUGGGGCUGAGAGUUACAAGCUUCUAAUCAUGCUUAGUUUUUCUGGUGACCAGCUCCCACCCAGGAGCCCACCCAGAGUCACUGCAUUAGAACAAAAAUGCUCCUAUCACCCAGGAAAUUCCAAGGGAUUUAGGAGCUCUGCUAACUCUUAUCACCCCCUCGUUACUCAGGAAAUUGCAAGGAUUUUAGGAGCUCUGUGUCAGGAAUAGGGUCAGAGAACAAAUAUUAGUACAGAAGGUGCUCCAUGCACCUUUAUCACCCUGGGAAUUACAAGGGGUUUAGAAAGUUUGUGGAACUGGGGUCAAAGACCAAAUACUAGCAGAAGCUGGGGACAGAGACCAGUAUAUGUAUUUCUUAGUAUUUCACAUAUACCGUUCUCCUUUUGCCCUUUCAGUGGUUUCACGGAGUUGACAAUUCUCUAUAUUAACUUUCUACUGCUAAUAAAAUUGCUGUGUGGUUUCUGUCACCUGACUGGAAGCUGACAAACCACCUGGGACUUGCAAUUGGCAUCUGAAAUGAGGGGCAAUCGUGAACUGAGCCCUUAACCUGUGGGGUCUGUGCUAACUCCAGGCAGUUAGUGUCAGAAUUAAACUGUAGGAAACCCAGUUGGUGUCUACUGAAAAUUGGAGAAUUGCUUGGUGUGGAAAAUCCCUCACAUCUGGUGUCAGGAGUAGUGUGAGUAGUAGCAAAGGAAACAGGAGUUUCCUUUAGCAUAAAUAAUGGAAAUAAAUAGAAACUUCCUUUUCUGUCAAACUAGGAAACAUACAACCCACAACUCAAAAAUGCAUAAAUGCUACCGAAAGCUGCUAAGUUUACUUCAUACUCUUUAUGAAGGUAAUAUGUUGUGAAAGCCCCUUGGAGUAGAGAAGGGAAAUGAAAUGCAAAACAGCCCAGAAGGAACAGAUCCCAGAAACCCCCGCAUGAAAACUUGCUUUUGGUAAAAGGCUCAACUUGAAGUAAUAAGUCAGUACCCCUUGCGUACAAUAUAAGAGCCGUGAUAGUAAGGAGGACAGGAUAGAGACCUCUUUGGGGGGAAGCGAAACAACCUAGCAACAACAAUAUGAGAAAAACAUUAGCAAAACUUUGUCCCCUGAAGCAAACCCCAACAAAUAGGUCAACUAGAGAAAUUCAAAGGCAGCCAGCUUUAAUUCAAAGAGGGGAAAAUAAAAACAGGCAGGGAAUUGCUGCAAAACUUACCAGCUACAAAGGAUCACCAAUCAAGUUGCCAUGAAAUAGGUGAAAAUUUUGACCAAACAUUUGGCCAUUACUUUCAAAGACUUAAUAAAGAAAUAGCCUCAAUAAGGAAGAAUGAAUUUAAAAAAAUAUGUAGUCCCAGAGAAGAAAUGGUGAGAAGACAAGAGAAAACUUGAUCUUACACAUUUGCAGAACUCAGAAAAGAGGUACGAGACAAAAAGAAACAUCACAAAAAUCAAAACAAAAGCAGAGGAGUACAGGGGAGGGGGUACAAAUACAGUGGAAAAUACAGUAAAAUCUUUUGAGGAUAGAAAUGAAAUAAGCAUAGAAAAGAAACUAUUUUUAAAUAAAUCCUAAAGACAUUGAUACACAGAGAAGACAGACAGUGGAGCUGCAGCAAGCACAGAACUGGAGUCCCCAAAGAAGGAAAACAAUACCAUGGAACUGGACAAAUCAUGCAAGAAUGUUCCUGAAAUAAAAGGCAACUUGACAGACUGUGCACCGGGGGAAGUGAACACAAAGUGGUCAGUAUGUGCCAAAACAUAUUAGAUGUUAAAAAUAAAGACACAAUCCCCCUUCCUCUUUUCCUCUUUCUUUUCCCUUUCCCUUCUAGUCAAUUCCCUUCUAGUCAAUUCAGUCCCAAAGACAUUUGGUGGCAAGAAGCAAAACAGGCAUGCAUGGAGGGAGGGGAGGAAAGCAGUGAUGUUGGAGCCUCAGCAGAGUAAGGAGGACAUCUGGGUAAAAGAGUGCAGUGGACGGAACGUGUCCCCCCAAAAUUGGUAUGUUGAAAUCCCAACCCCCAAUGUGAUGGUAUUAGGAGGUGGGGCCUUUGGGAGGUGAUUAGGUCAUAAGGGUGAAGCCUUCAUGAAUGGGAUUAGUGCCCUUGUAAACAAAAGGGUCCCCGGAGAGCUCCCUCACUCUCCUUCCACAUGUGAGGACACAGCGAGAAGUCAGCAGUCUGCAAGCUGGAAGAGGGUCCUCACCAGAACCAACCCUGCCGGUACUCUGAUCUCAGAUGUCCAGUCUCCGGAACCGUGAGAAAUACAUGUCUGUUGUUUAUAUGCCACUUAGUCUAAGGCACUUUGUUAUAGCAGCCUGAACUAAGACAAAGAGUGACCCGUCCUGUGAGGUUGGAGCCUAAGGAGGGUGCCACGUGGGGAACAGCUGGCUUGCAAAGGAUGUCACAGCCCGAGUGGAGUGAGGACUUCAACAGCAGCUGCCUCUAGUUGAUGAGAAGCAGACGCUCUGAGCCUCCUGCAAGAGUUAAUGAUUACAGCAGCCCAAGGGCGUCUGAACCAAAGGACAAGCAGGCGGCACCUUACUGACUCAGACUUGUGUAAAUGCAGGACACAUGUUCCCAGGACAACUCAGCCAAGUUCCAGAAAGGAGAGGUUCAUGCAAGCUCCUAGGAUUCACUCCCUAAAGCCGUUCUUGCUGAAGAGGAUUCUGCACUUAAAAUGUAAACUCCAAGCAAUCGCAGAUGGAAAGACAGAAUUCUUUGUAAUGAGCAGAUCAGCAAAGAUAUCAAGAGUUUCUCCUUGUGGGUCAGACAACAUGGGAUGAGGGUCACAGGUAAGAAAGCUUCAGAAUUAAUGAUGAGGAACAUAUGGACAGGACUGGACAGGACUGUUUUCAUUAGUCACAGCUGGAUAAGGUUUUCAGCAAUUUCAGAGAUUGGGUGACUGUGGAACAGCGUUGUAAUAUAUUUUCUCUGCCAUGGUAGAAAUGUUCUCUAUCUGCACUAAUACAGCAGCACUAGCUACAUGUGGCUAUUGAGCACGUGAAAUGUGACUAGUGCAACUGAGGGUCUGCAUUUUUAAUUUUACUUAAUUUUCAUUAAUUAAAAUAUUUCAAUAGGCCCAUGUAGCUAGUGGCUACCACAGCAGACAGCGCAGCUCUACAGAAUUUGUGAUCACUGUAUAAUUCACUGCCGGUGUACUGUGUGAGGUAUUUUGGUUGUUUUCAAUUGUCUCAGAUAAUCAAAAAAAUAUUUCUUGUAUAAAUAAAAGUCUCAGUUAAAGAACCCUU